rnacentral:rRNA from 1 species
GCCGGUUUCCCUAGAUGAUCUUCAUCGGUUGUCCUGGGUGACCGGCACGUUUACUUUGAAAAAAUUAGAGUGCUCAAAGCAGGCGCGUAGCCUGAAUAAUGGUGCAUGGAAUAAUGGAAUAGGACUUCGUUUCUAUUUUGUUGGUUUUCGGAACACGAGGUAAUGAUUAAGAGGGACAGACGGGGGCAUUCGUAUUGCGACGCUAGAGGUGAAAUUCUUGGACCGUCGCAAGACGAACUACUGCGAAAGCAUUUGCCAAGAAUGUUUUCAUUAAUCAAGAACGAAAGUUAGAGGUUCGAAGGCGAUCAGAUACCGCCCUAGUUCUAACCAUAAACGAUGCCAACCAGCGAUCCGCCUGAGUUCCUCAAAUGACUCGGCGGGCAGCUUCUGGGAAACCAAAGUGUUUGGGUUCCGGGGGAAGUAUGGUUGCAAAGCUGAAACUUAAAGGAAUUGACGGAAGGGCACCACCAGGCGUGGAGCUUGCGGUUUAAUUUGACUCAACACGGGAAAACUUACCCGGCCCGGACACUGGAAGGAUUGACAGAUUAAGAGCUCUUUCUUGAUUCAGCGGGUGGUGGUGCAUGGCCGUUCUUAGUUGGUGGAGCGAUUUGUCUGGUUAAUUCCGAUAACGAGCGAGAUUCUAUCCUACUAAAUAGGCGUCCCGAUCACUCCUGUCGGGCGUUCUUCUUAGAGGGACAAGUGGCGUUUAGCCGCACGAGACAGAGCAAUAACAGGUCUGUGAUGCCCUUAGAUGGUCGGGGCUGCACGCGUGCUACACUGAAGGAAUCAGCGUGUGCUUUCCCUGUCCGGAAGGACUGGGUAACCCGUUGAACCUCCUUCGUGAUAGGGAUAGGGGCUUGUAAUUGUUCCCCUUGAACGAGGAAUGCCCAGUAAGCGCGAGUCAUAAGCUCGUGUUGAUUACGUCCCUGCCCUUUGUACACACCGCCCGUCGCUACUACCGAUUGAAUGAUUUAGUGAGGUCUUCGGACUGGCGCUCGGAGCGGCCGCGAGGUCGCGCCGG